rnacentral:rRNA from 1 species
UACGAAGGGGGCUAGCGUUGCUCGGAAUCACUGGGCGUAAAGCGCACGUAGGCGGAUCUUUAAGUCAGGGGUGAAAUCCUGGAGCUCAACUCCAGAACUGCCUUUGAUACUGGGGAUCUCGAGUCCGGAAGAGGUGAGUGGAACUCCGAGUGUAGAGGUGAAAUUCGUAGAUAUUCGGAAGAACACCAGUGGCGAAGGCGGCUCACUGGUCCGGUACUGACGCUGAGGUGCGAAAGCGUGGGGAGCAAAUGGG